rnacentral:rRNA from 1 species
UGAGGAAUAUUGGUCAAUGGGCGCAAGCCUGAACCAGCCAUCCCGCGUGAAGGAAGAAUGCGCUACGCGUUGUAAACUUCUUUUCCAGGGGGAGAAUUUUCCUGUCGAGACAGGGAUUGACGGUACCCUGGGAAUAAGCAUCGGCUAACUCCGUGCCAGCAGCCGCAGUAAUACGGAGGAUGCGAGCGUUAUCCGGAUUUAUUGGGUUUAAAGGGUGCGUAGGCGGAUUGAUAAGUCAGUGGUGAAAUUCUGCAGCUUAACUGUAGACUUGCCGUUGAUACUGUUAGUCUUGAGUGUGGUCAAGGCAGGCGGAAUGUGUAAUGUAGCGGUGAAAUGCUUAGAUAUUACACAGAACACCGAUUGCGAAGGCAGCUUGCUGGGUCAUUACUGACGCUCAUGGACGAAAGCUAGGGGAGCAAACAG